rnacentral:rRNA from 1 species
UACGGAGGGGGCUAGCGUUGUUCGGAAUUACUGGGCGUAAAGCGCACGUAGGCGGCUUGGUAAGUUAGAGGUGAAAGCCUGGAGCUCAACUCCAGAAUUGCCUUUAAGACUGCAUCGCUAGAAUUGUGGAGAGGUAAGUGGAAUUCCGAGUGUAGAGGUGAAAUUCGUAGAUAUUCGGAAGAACACCAGUGGCGAAGGCGACUUACUGGACACAUAUUGACGCUGAGGUGCGAAAGCUAGGGUAGCAAACGGG